GACGAACGCUGGCGGCGUGCCUAAUACAUGCCAGUCGAACGAGAGCGACCGGUGCUUGCACUGGUCAAUCUAGUGGCGAACGGGUGAGUAACACGUGGGUAACCUGCCUAUCAGAGGGGGAUAACAUCCGGAAACGGAUGCUAAAACCGCAUAGGACUUCGAGCCGCAUGGCUUGAAGGGGAAAAGCGGCGCAAGCUUCUGCUGAUGGAUGGACCCGCGCUGCAUUAGCUAGUUGGUGAGGUAACGGCUCACCAAGGCAGUGAUGCAUAGCCGACCUGAGAGGGUGAUCGGCCACAUUGGAACUGAGACACGGCCCAAACUCCUACGGGAGGCAGCAGUAGGGAAUCUUCCGCAAUGGGCGCAAGCCUGACGGAGCAACGCCGCGUGAGUGAAGAAGGUUUUCGGAUCGUAAAACUCUGUUGUUAGAGAAGAACAAGUGCUAAAGUAACUGUUAGCGCCUUGACGGUAUCUAACCAGAAAGCCACGGCUAACUACGUG
rnacentral:rRNA from 1 species